rnacentral:rRNA from 1 species
AUUGAACGCUGGCGGCAGGCUUAACACAUGCAAGUCGAGCGGGGUGAUGGUGCUUGCACUAUCACUUAGCGGCGGACGGGUGAGUAAUGCUUAGGAAUCUGCCUAUUAGUGGGGGACAACAUCUCGAAAGGGAUGCUAAUACCGCAUACGUCCUACGGGAGAAAGCAGGGGAUCACUUGUGACCUUGCGCUAAUAGAUGAGCCUAAGUCGGAUUAGCUAGUUGGUGGGGUAAAGGCCUACCAAGGCGACGAUCUGUAGCGGGUCUGAGAGGAUGGUCCGCCACACUGGGACUGAGACACGGCCCAGACUCCUACGGGAGGCAGCAGUGGGGAAUAUUGGACAAUGGGGGGAACCCUGAUCCAGCCAUGCCGCGUGUGUGAAGAAGGCCUUAUGGUUGUAAAGCACUUUAAGCGAGGAGGAGGCUCUUUUGGUUAAUACCCAAGAUGAGUGGACGUUACUCGCAGAAUAAGCACCGGCUAACUCUGUGCCAGCAGCAGCCGCAG